rnacentral:rRNA from 1 species
UCCCGUCGUCGUGCUUAGUGGCGUACGGGUGAGUAACACGUGAGUAAUCUGCCCUCGACUCUGGGAUAAGCCGGGAAACUGGGUCUAUACCGGAUAUGACCUCGCACCCUUUGGUGCGGGGUGGAAAGAUUUAUCGGUGGGGGAUGGACUCUGGGCCUAUCACCUUGUUGGUGGGGGAAGGGGUCACCAAGGCCAAAACCGGUAACCGGUCUGUGAGGUUGACCGGCCAUCAUGGGACUGAGACCCGGCCCACACUCCUACCUCAUGCAGCAGUGGGGAAUGUUGCACCUUGGGCGCUGGCCUGAUGCCUGAACCCCCCACGCCGCAUGACGGACUUCGGGCUGUAGGUUCUUUCCUCUUUCAAGAAGGACGAGUCCCCUCGGGUGCAUAAGAAGCAGGGUGACGGUACCUGCCAGAAGCCGCCCUGCUAACUACGUGCCAGCGCCGUGCGGAUUCAUUGGGGGCAAGCGUUCCCGGAUUUAUUGGGUCGUAAAGAGUAUGUAGGGCGGCCAGACAGGUCCGAUGUGAAUACUAGAGGCUCAACCUCUAGACGUCGAUGGAAACCGGUCUGGCUAGAGUCCAGAAGAGGAGAGAUGGAAUUCGUGGUGUAGCGGUGAAAUGCGCAGAUAUCAGGAAGAACACCCGUGGCUAAGGCGGCUCUCUAGUACGGUACUGACGCUGAGACGUGAAAGCGUGGGGAGCGAACAGGAUUAGAUAUCCGAGUAGUCCAUAGUCGUAAACGAUGGGUUGCUAAGGUGUGGGGGGGUGUCGACUCCCUUCGUGCCGAAGGUAACGCAUUAAGCUCCUCCGCCUGGAGAGUACGGCCGCCAGGUUAAAACUCAAAAGAAUUGACGGGGGCCCGCACCAGCAGCGGAGCAUGUUGUUUAAUUUGACGCAACCCGAAGAACUUUUCCAAGGUCUGACAUGAUUGGGAAAACCGUAGAAAUUCGGUCGUCCUUCGUCACUGGAUCACAGGUGGCACAUGGCUGUUGUCAGCUUGUGUCGUGAGAUGUUGGGUUAAGUCCCGCAACGAGCGCAACCCCUGUCCUAUGUUGCCAGCGAGUUAUGUCGGGGACUCAUGGGAGACUGCCGGUGACAAAUCGGAGGAAGGUGGGGAUGACGUCAAGUCAUCAUGCCCCUUAUGUCUUGGGCUACAAACGUGAUACAAUGGCUGUGACAAAGAGUAGCUGAAACGCGAGUUUUUAGCCAAUCUCAAAAAAGCAGUCUCAGUUCGGAUUGAAGUCUGUAACUCGACUUCAUGAAGUUGGAAUCGCUAGUAAUCGCGAAUCAGCAACGUCGCGGUGAAUACGUUCUCGGGGUUUGUACACACCGCCCGUCAAACCACGAAAGUUAGCAAUGCCCGAAAGCAGUAGCUUAACUUCGCAAGAAGAGGG